AGAGUUUGAUCCUGGCUCAGGAUGAACGCUGGCGGCGUGCCUAAUACAUGCAAGUCGAGCGAACAGAUAAGGAGCUUGCUCCUUUGACGUUAGCGGCGGACGGGUGAGUAACACGUGGGUAACCUACCUAUAAGACUGGAAUAACUCCGGGAAACCGGGGCUAAUGCCGGAUAACAUAUAGAACCGCAUGGUUCUAUAGUGAAAGAUGGUUUUGCUAUCACUUAUAGAUGGACCCGCGCCGUAUUAGCUAGUUGGUAAGGUAAUGGCUUACCAAGGCGACGAUACGUAGCCGACCUGAGAGGGUGAUCGGCCACACUGGAACUGAGACACGGUCCAGACUCCUACGGGAGGCAGCAGUAGGGAAUCUUCCGCAAUGGGCGAAAGCCUGACGGAGCAACGCCGCGUGAGUGAUGAAGGGUUUCGGCUCGUAAAACUCUGUUAUUAGGGAAGAACAUAUGUGUAAGUAACUGUGCACAUCUUGACGGUACCUAAUCAGAAAGCCACGGCUAACUACGUGCCAGCAGCCGCGGUAAUACGUAGGUGGCAAGCGUUAUCCGGAAUUAUUGGGCGUAAAGCGCGCGUAGGCGGUUUCUUAAGUCUGAUGUGAAAGCCCACGGCUCACCCGUGGAGGGUCAUUGGAAACUGGGAAACUUGAGUGCAGAAGAGGAAAGUGGAAUUCCAUGGUGUAGCGGUGAAAUGCGCAGAGAAUAUGGAGGAACAUAAGUGGCGAAGCGACUUUCUGGUCUGUAACUGACGCUGAUGUGCGAAAGCGCGGUGGGGGAUCA
rnacentral:rRNA from 1 species